rnacentral:pre_miRNA from 1 species
CUUUGCUGUCUUCCACAGCUUUCUUGAACUGCAUCUGCAAUUGGUGGAUGCUAGCUUCUGCUCGCAAGAUCUGCAGUUCAAUAAAGCUGUGGGAAAUUGCAGAGAG